rnacentral:misc_RNA from 1 species
UGGCUCCGUGCCCGUCCACCGAACGGUCGGCAGGCGAUCCGCGUCGGUCGCGCGAGGUGGUAUGGUUCCCCAGAGGCCGGUUCUUGUGCUGCCUACCCCUUCAGGGGAAGCGGGCCACUUGAUGUAAGCCUCCAUCCGGCGCCCUCCAACGGGCGCAGGAGGACAACAGAGCACACCCCGCGUACCACCGAGCCUUCGUCGGUCGCGUGGCGCGCGGGGACGUGCGAUGCUCUCGGACCCAGCGGACGCCGUGGGCGAGGACUCACGUCCCAGUCCCGAUAGAAGCUUCGGUAUAAUGCUGACGGCCGCUCCCGCCCCCCGACCGCCCCGGCGGCGCGUGGGCGAGGCGCGGCGUCGCGGAGGAAUGCUACCU